rnacentral:rRNA from 1 species
AGUGAACGCUGGCGGUAGGCCUAACACAUGCAAGUCGAACGGCAGCACAGGAGAGCUUGCUCUCUGGGUGGCGAGUGGCGGACGGGUGAGGAAUACAUCGGAAUCUACCUUUUCGUGGGGGAUAACGUAGGGAAACUUACGCUAAUACCGCAUACGACCUACGGGUGAAAGUGGGGGACCGCAAGGCCUCACGCGAUUAGAUGAGCCGAUGUCCGAUUAGCUAGUUGGCGGGGUAAUGGCCCACCAAGGCGACGAUCGGUAGCUGGUCUGAGAGGAUGAUCAGCCGACCUGGAACUGGGACACGGUCCAGACUCCUACGGGAGGCAGCAGUGGGGAAUAUUGGAAAAUGGGCGCAAGCCUGAUCCAGCCAUACCGCGUGGGUGAAGAAGGCCUUCGGGUUGUAAAGCCCUUUUGUUGGGAAAGAAAUCCUAUCGGUUAAUAACCGGUGGGGAUGACGGUACCCAAAGAAUAAGCACCGGCUAACUUCGUGCCAGCCGCCGCGGUAAAAC